rnacentral:rRNA from 1 species
UACGUAGGGCGCAAGCGUUGUCCGGAAUUAUUGGGCGUAAAGAGCUCGUAGGCGGUUUGUCGCGUCUGCUGUGAAAACUCGAGGCUCAACCUCGGGCUUGCAGUGGGUACGGGCAGACUAGAGUGCGGUAGGGGUGACUGGAAUUCCUGGUGUAGCGGUGGAAUGCGCAGAUAUCAGGAGGAACACCGAUGGCGAAGGCAGGUCACUGGGCCGCAACUGACGCUGGAGGGAGCGGAAAGACAUGGGGAGCGAACAGG